GAGUAACACGUGGGUGACCUACCUCGGAGUGGGGAACAACAGACCGAAAGGUUUGCUAAUACCGCAUGCGCUCGAUGAUUCAUUUUGUCGAGCAAAGGCGCAAGUCGCUCUGAGAGGGGCCCGCGUCCCAUCAGGUAGUUGGUGAGGUAAUGGCCCACCAAGCCGAUGACGGGUAGCUGUUCUGAGAGGAAGAUCAGCCACAAUGGAACUGAGAUACGGUCCAUACUCCUACGGGAGGCAGCAGUGAGGAAUAUUGCGCAAUGGACGAAAGUCUGACGCAGCGACGCCGCGUGGGUGACGAAGGCCUUCGGGUCGUAAAACCCUUUUUCUGGGGACGAAUAAUGACGGUACCCAGGGAAUAAGUCUCGGCGAACUACGUGCCAGCAGCCGCGGUAAUACGUAGGAGGCGAGCGUUAUCCGGAUUCACUGGGCGUAAAGCGGGUGUAGGCGGCUCUUCAAGUCGGAUGUGAAAUCUCCUGGCUUAACUGGGAGGGGUCAUCCGAUACUGGAAGGCUAGAGUGCAGCAUAGGGAAGCGGAACUCCCGGUGUAGUGGUGAAAUGCGUAGAUAUCGGGAAGAACACCAGUGGCGAAAGCGGUUUCUGGGCUGUUACUGACGCUGAGACCCGAAGCGUGGGGAGCAAACAGGAUUAGAUACCUGGUAGUCCACGCCGUAACGAUGAAUACUAGGUGUAGGGGUAUCGACCCCCCCUGUGCCGCAGCUACGCAAUAAGUAUUCCACCUGGGAGUACGCACGCAAGUGUGAAACUCAAAGGAAUUGACGGGGGCCCGCACAAGCGGUGGAGUAUGUGGUUUAAUUCGAUGCAACGCGAAGAACCUUACCAGGGUUUGACAUCCUGCGAAUCUCUUGGGGUAAAUUCCGGAACCCCCCCUCCCGUU
rnacentral:rRNA from 1 species